rnacentral:rRNA from 1 species
UGUCUCCUUUUUCCAAUCAGUGAAACUAAUCUCCCCGUGAAGAAGCGGGGAUAAAUCUAUAAGACGAGAAGACCCCAUGGAGCUUUAAACCAGCUACACCCCCCCACACCCUUUCAACCCCGGGGCCCUACAUGCCUGGUUUUCGGUUGGGGCGACCAAGGAGUAUAAGAAAACCUCCAUGAUGAACGAGCCUACCCUCUUACCUGAGAAUUACACUUCAAAGAAUUAGUAAACUAGCAUUAAAUGAUCCAAUAAUUGAUCAACGAACCAAGUUACCCUGGGGAUAACAGCGCAAUCCAUUUCAAGAGCCCUUAUCGACAAAUGGGUUUACGACC